CUGUUUGACUUUCCGGAGGAUGGUUACCCUCCCUUGGACUCUUCAUGGAGAUAUUUUCAGAGCCUAUUUCAUAGGUAUUCGAAAUUUGGUCAAACAUUCCUCAUUUCAAUAUUAAUAAUUCAAAAAUUAUUAUCAAACUUUUAUAGGGUGUAUUAUUAAAGGGGAGGAUCACAAACAAACUCACUCUAUAUUCACCAAAAGAAAUCAUGUUGAUUAGUGUGGUUAAAUAAAAUAAAUUGGAAAAAGAUAGAAAUCAUUCAGAAAAUUUUCAGUGCCGGAGACGUCUCUGGCAAAUCACAGAGACGUCCCCC
rnacentral:lncRNA from 1 species